GGGCGCUGGGAGGCUGGACGGCCCUUCCCGGCUUCUUCCCUCCGAGCACCUCCGAGGGCGCGGAUAGCUACGAGCCCGGGGAGGAUCUCUCGUUCGCCAAGUGCGGGCGAUUGACUUCUGCCCCUUCCCCACUGAACGGCCGUGCCUUUGCCACCCGAGCCUCCAUGCAGGCGGCUUCCAGAAUGUUCCAGCUACUUCCCCUGCUGAGCCCGGGGAAAGGCAGCUCGAGGCCAACCGAACUCCUCGUGCCGGUUUCUGGAGGCUGGAGGAGAAACCCACAGCAGAGUGUGGGCUCAGAAGGAGCAGAAUCAUCGAAACCCCAAAUAGCACGGCUCUAACUCCUACUUGUGUCUCGUGUUUAGGAUUGCAGUGAUGUGGAGAGCCGGAGGUGCCCCGGUGGCGCGGGGAUGGAGUCAGGAGAUGCCCAGGAGGAGGAUAUCGCCUCAUCUGCUGCUCCAACAAGCCCAGGCCACCUGGCAUGGGAGGGCGCAGGCAGAGCAGAUCUGAGUCACCUCGGACACUCAGAUCACUGUGAGCCUGACUGUAUACAAGACCAAACAGCUCCCAGUCUUCAACUAGGAAUUGAAGCAAUUUUCAACAGGACGCUCAACCAAUGUGAAAAGGGAUAAUAACAAGGCAGAUACACAGAAAGCAAUAAAUGGGAAGAAAAUAUUUGGGAAUUUAAGCAGAUGCAGACAAAAGCUGUGUGAAGGAGAGGUGUCUGUGUUGGAAGUGUGAUAAUGAAUGGCACAUUGAGAACACAACCGACUCUUAAUAACUGUAACAACUGGUGUUCCCUGUUCGGCAGGAUGGGGAGGGAGAGUGUCUCCAGUGCAAAGAAGUGAGUUAUUGAGGUAACCUUGAUUCCACAAAUGUAUAACACAAGUAAGUGACAGUUGCUUCUUGUGUGCGUGGCAGUAGAUUAUGGAACGAGACAGACGGAGCCUUCAGUACCUCUUUAGUAUGGGUUUUAUUGGGGUGAAGAAAAACACCAGAAAAUAAGCUUGUAAGGUUACAAUAUGUUCUUAGUAUUACUUGUGUUGUUCUUGUAUUGUUCUACAUUAAAAAUAACUCUGACGAGUGUUUUACAUUAAGAAAAAAAACAAAACCACACAACUAGAACUUGGCAAAAAGAAGAAAAAGUGUUGUAACUCAGAUCAUCCAUGAAUAUGACAUGUAUUUUGACAACUCUGGGAAUGAUUUUUACGCUUACGUUCAUUGAAUACUUGCAUAGGAGGGCUUUACCUGUAGUUGACACUGUCCUGAAGAACGAGCAUUGUGUUGAACUAGUGAGAUGUAGGGGAAGAUUUUGUGAGGUUAAAAAGGCAGAGGGGACUUAGAGAGGAUUUGUUCUUUGAUCCCGGAGAUAAGAGACCAGACUUGCACAGACGCUCAGCCCGACUUCUGCAGCUCGUUUGCUCUCACUGUACCUGGGAUAACUGGGAAGCCUGGAUGGCAGCCAAACACAGUGCAUUUUUAUUCGAGGCAGUCUGAGCUUUUUAGUUUGUAAUGGUUUCCUGUGCAUUUAUUUUUUUCCCAAAGCUGGACAGUUCUGUAAGCUGCAUUGGUGUCAUGGUGCUAAGGGCACUGGUUGUGGUGCUGGAAGAAUCACGGUGGGGACGAUUCCUCUAUCUCUCUGACACAACUCUAACACAGCAAUUAAAUGCGCAGUCCGGGUGUGGGGGAUGAAGUAUGAGAUAAAUGCACUACAGAGAAAGAUAAAGAGACUGUUACGUGAAGGGCAGCUCCAGGUUGCCAUUCACUUCUCCAAAACUGAACUCUGGGCUGCAUAAGGUUUUUGGAUGAGCCCUGCACAGCAACAGUCACCGCUGCCUGAAUGUGAGCAUAGGACAGCUCAGAUGCCCUUCUGCUCCUGUCCCCACAGGAAAAUCAGCCCUUCUUCAAUAAAAUUCAGGUACUUUCUUUGCACACGACAAAAAGAGACCUUCAGUGCAUUGCACAAUAAGCCUAUGUUCAAAUCUGAGCAAGGGUG